rnacentral:rRNA from 1 species
UGGGGAAUUUUGGACAAUGGGCGAAAGCCUGAUCCAGCAAUGCCGCGUGUGUGAAGAAGGCCUUCGGGUUGUAAAGCACUUUUGUCCGGAAAGAAAUCCUUGGCUCUAAUACAGUCGGGGGAUGACGGUACCGGAAGAAUAAGCACCGGCUAACUACGUGCCAGCAGCCGCGGUAAUACGUAGGGUGCAAGCGUUAAUCGGAAUUACUGGGCGUAAAGCGUGCGCAGGCGGUUUGCUAAGACCGAUGUGAAAUCCCCGGGCUCAACCUGGGAACUGCAUUGGUGACUGGCAGGCUAGAGUAUGGCAGAGGGGGGUAGAAUUCCACGUGUAGCAGUGAAAUGCGUAGAGAUGUGGAGGAAUACCGAUGGCGAAGGCAGCCCCCUGGGCCAAUACUGACGCUCAUGCACGAAAGCGUGGGGAGCAAACAGGAUUAGAUACCCUGGUAGUCCACGCCCUAAACGAUGUCAACUAGUUGUUGGGGAUUCAUUUCCUUAGUAACGUAGCUAACGCGUGAAGUUGACCGCCUGGGGAGUACGGUCGAAGAUUAAAAACUCAAAUGAAUUGACGGGGUCAUAGCUGUUUCCU